GACGAACGCUGGCGGCGUGCUUAACACAUGCAAGUGGGGCGACGAACCAGGCUUCGGCCUGGGGCAAAGCCGCGAACGGGUGAGUAACACGUGGGUAACCUGCCCCGAAGACUGGGACAACCCGGGGAAACCCGGGCUAAUACCGGAUGUGGUCAUCGUUCAUAAGGACGAUGAGCAAAGGAAGCUUCGGCCUCCGCUUCGGGAUGGGCCCGCGGCCCAUUAGCUUGUUGGUGAGGUAACGGCUCACCAAGGCUUCGAUGGGUAGCUGGUCUGAGAGGACGAUCAGCCACACUGGGACUGAGACACGGCCCAGACUCCUACGGGAGGCAG
rnacentral:rRNA from 1 species